rnacentral:lncRNA from 13 species
AGGAUUUAUUUAUUAAUUAGUCAAUAAUAUUAUUUACUCUUAAACCAAACAACAUACUUUAUGGGUGUUUCAUGGUAUUUAUACUAUAGAAAUAUUGGCAGAUAAUAUUUUAAUAGGAAUUCAAGCUCUUAGGCAAGGUCAACAGUUGCUCUUCUCACUAUCUAUGAAAAAGAAAAAAGAAAAUUAAAAAUAAUACUCUGUUUUUAAUGAUGUUUUUUUAAAGCACAAGAAGUUAGUCAUCAACAUUCUUAUUGCAACAGCAUCCUAAAUGUCAUGUGGUUACAAUAGGAAUGAAAACCACUUUGCAGAUUGCCAGUAAAGACAUACCAAGACUGAGGAAUUUACAAAAGAAAAUGUUUAUUGAACAUGAUUGUGAGGCUUUCUCACCCACAUGGUGUCAGACAAGAGAAGAAGGCUUUGGCAGGGAAACACCUGUUUUUAAAACUAUUAGAUUGCCGGGCAUGAUGGCUCAUGCCUGUAAUCCCAGCACUUUGGGAGGCCAAGGUGAGUGGAUCACCUGAGGUCAGGAGUUUGAUACCAGCCUGACCAACAAGGUGAAACCCUAUCUCUACUAAAAAUACAAAAAUUACCCAGUCAUAGUGUCAUGCACCUGUAAUCUCAGCUACUCGAGAGACUGAGACAGGAGAAUCACUUGAACCUGGAAGAUGGAGUUUGCAGUGAGCUGAAAUUACACCAUUGCACUCCAGCCUGGGUGACAGAGCAAGACACUCCAUCUCAAAAAAAAAGAAAACAAAAAAACAUCAGAUCUUGUGAGACUUACUCACUAUCAAGAGAACAGCAUGAUAAAGACCUACCUCCACGUUUGAAUUACCUUCCACCAAGUUCCUCCCACAAUACAUGGGAAUUCAAGAUGAGAUUUGGGUGGGGCCACAGACAAAUCAUAUCUCUAGAUUAGCACUUUUAAUUUCCUUCAAGAACUUAUUGUUUUCCAUCACAACUUAGCUGUUUAGCACAAGAGACCUAGCUUUCAGCCUAUCUCAGCUUUUGACACAACUUCCUCACUAAGCUUAAUCAUUUCUAGCUUCUGAUUCAAAGUGAGAGGUGUACAACUAUUCCUUUCACUUGAACUCUUAGAGGUCAUUGUAAGGUUAUUUAUUGGCCUAAUUUCAAUUUAGUUGUGUCUCAGAGAACAGGAGGGUUUCAAGAGAGAGAGAAAGACGAGAAUGACUCUUUGGUGGAGCUUCAGAACACACACAAUAUUAAUCAGUUAAAUAUUCAUUUUAUAUGGGCACAAUUCAUAAUACGCCCCAAAAGUUAGAAUAGUAACACCAAAGCUCAUGAAUAAUCAACAUAGCAGAUAUAAUAAUAAUAAAAAUGUUUGAAAUGUUGUGAAAAUUACA